UACGGAGGGUGCAAGCGUUACUCGAAAUUACUGGGCGUAAAGGGCGUGUAGGCGGCUUCGACAGUCAGGCGUGAAAGCCCCGGGCUUAACCUGGGAAUUGCGCUUGAUACUGUGAGGCUAGAGUUCGGGAGAGGAGAGUGGAAUUCCCAGUAUAGAGGUGAAAUUCGUAGAUAUUGGGAAGAACACCAGUGGCGAAGGCGGCUCUCUGGACCGAUACUGACGCUGAGGCGCGAAAGCGUGGGGAGCAAACAGG
rnacentral:rRNA from 1 species